rnacentral:rRNA from 1 species
GUCGCACCUACCAAUUGAAUGGUCCGGUGAAGCCUCGGGAUUGUGACUAGUUCCCUUCAUUGGGGAUUGGUCGCGGGAACUUGUCUGAACCUUAUCAUUUAGAGGAAGGUG